UAGGGAAUCUUCCGCAAUGGACGCAAGUCUGACGGAGCAACGCCGCGUGAGUGAAGAAGGAUUUCGGUUCGUAAAACUCUGUUGUUAGAGAAGAACAGCGCAUAGAGUAACUGUUAUGCGUGUGACGGUAUCUAACCAGAAAGCCACGGCUAACUACGUGCCAGCAGCCGCGGUAAUACGUAGGUGGCAAGCGUUGUCCGGAUUUAUUGGGCGUAAAGCGAGCGCAGGCGGUCAAUUAAGUCUGAUGUGAAAGCCCCCGGCUCAACCGGGGAGGAUUAUUGGAAACUGGUUGACUUGAGUGCAGAAGAGGAUAGUGGAAUUCCAUGUGUAGCGGUAAAAUGCGUAGAUAUAUGGAGGAACACCAGUGGCGAAGGCGACUCUCUGGUCUGUAACUGACGCUGAGGCUCGAAAGCGUGGGUAGCAAACAGG
rnacentral:rRNA from 1 species